GCGGGGGUAGCUCAAUGGUAGGCCUCUAGCUUCCCGAGCUAGUGACGUGGGUUCGAUUCCCAUCACCCGCUCCA
rnacentral:tRNA from 1 species